rnacentral:misc_RNA from 1 species
GAUGAAGAACGCAGCGAAAUGCGAUAAGUAAUGUGAAUUGCAGAAUUCAGUGAAUCAUCGAAUCUUUGAACGCACCUUGCGCUCCUUGGCAUCCCGAGGAGCAUGCCUGUUUGAGUGUCAUUAAAUUCUCAAGACCUGUCUGCUUUUUUGAUAGGUAUUGGAUUUUGGGGGUUGCAGGCUGUUUCAAAUAAAUAGCCUUGCUCUCCUUGAAUGUAUUAGUGGAGAAAAGCCAUUGAACUCCAUUGGUGUGAUAAAACCUAUCAAUGCCAGGAGCAAUAUCACUACUUCUCUCUGCUGUCUAACUGUGACUGUCUGUAUUAAUUAGUAUGGAUGGGGACAACUUGACCAACUUGACCUCAAAUCAGGUAGGACUACCCGCUGAACUUAAGCAUAUCAAUAAGCGGAGGA